rnacentral:rRNA from 1 species
GAUGAACGCUGGCGGCGUGCCUAAUACAUGCAAGUCGUGCGAACAGACGAGGAGCUUGCUCCUCUGACGUUAGCGGCGGACGGGUGAGUAACACGUGGAUAACCUACCUAUAAGACUGGGAUAACUUCGGGAAACCGGAGCUAAUACCGGAUAAUAUAUUGAACCGCAUGGUUCAAUAGUGAAAGACGGUUUUGCUGUCACUUAUAGAUGGAUCCGCGCCGCAUUAGCUAGUUGGUAAGGUAACGGCUUACCAAGGCAACGAUGCGUAGCCGGCCUGAGAGGGUGAUCGGCCACACUGGAACUGAGACACGGUCCAGACUCCUACGGGAGGCAGCAGUAGGGAAUCUUCCGCAAUGGGCGAAAGCCUGACGGAGCAACGCCGCGUGAGUGAUGAAGGUCUUCGGAUCGUAAAACUCUGUUAUUAGGGAAGAACAAAUGUGUAAGUAACUAUGCACGUCUUGACGGUACCUAAUCAGAAAGCCACGGCUAACUACGUG